CUCCUCUUGAGUAGAUAAGAGGUAAAAUCUGCUCCAUGCACUAUAGUAAAUAGCCGCAGUAUCCUGACUGUGCUAAGGUAGCAAAAUAAUUUGGCUCUUUAUUGGAGUCUGGAAUGAACGAUUUGACAAGGUCUAUUCUGUCUCAUUUUAAUAAUUCGAAAUUGGAUUAUUUGUAAAAAUACAAAUAUGGAAGAGAGGGACGAAAAGACCCUAUAGAUCUUUAUUCUAUUAACUGAAAUUUCCUGUUCUUUUAAUUAGAGUUUACUUGGGAUAAGGCUAAAAAGUGAAUUUUGGUUUAAGAGAAAGACUGAUUAGUCAAAAAGACGAAUAAAAAGAAGAUAAGUUACCUUAGGGAUAACAGGAUAAUUUUUUUAUUAAGAACGUAUUAGUAAAAAAGUUUAUUACCUCGAUGUUGAAUUAAGUUUCCUUUUACUUGAAGAAGGGUUAGAAGUUAGUCUGUUCGACUAUUAAAAACUU
rnacentral:rRNA from 1 species